ACGCUGGCGGCGUGCCUAAUACAUGCAAGUCGAGCGAACAGACAAGGAGCUUGCUCCUUUGACGUUAGCGGCGGACGGGUGAGUAACACGUGGGUAACCUACCUAUAAGACUGGGAUAACUUCGGGAAACCGGAGCUAAUACCGGAUAAUAUUUCGAACCGCAUGGUUCGAUAGUGAAAGAUGGUUUUGCUAUCACUUAUAGAUGGACCCGCGCCGUAUUAGCUAGUUGGUAAGGUAACGGCUUACCAAGGCGACGAUACGUAGCCGACCUGAGAGGGUGAUCGGCCACACUGGAACUGAGACACGGUCCAGACUCCUACGGGAGGCAGCAGUAGGGAAUCUUCCGCAAUGGGCGAAAGCCUGACGGAGCAACGCCGCGUGAGUGAUGAAGGUCUUCGGAUCGUAAAACUCUGUUAUUAGGGAAGAACAUACGUGUAAGUAACUAUGCACGUCUUGACGGUACCUAAUCAGAAAGCCACGGCUAACUACGUGCCAGCAGCCGCGGUAAUACGUAGGUGGCAAGCGUUAUCCGGAAUUAUUGGGCGUAAAGCGCGCGUAGGCGGUUUUUUAAGUCUGAUGUGAAAGCCCACGGCUCAACCGUGGAGGGUCAUUGGAAACUGGAAAACUUGAGUGCAGAAGAGGAAAGUGGAAUUCCAUGUGUAGCGGUGAAAUGCGCAGAGAUAUGGAGGAACACCAGUGGCGAAGGCGACUUUCUGGUCUGUAACUGACGCUGAUGUGCGAAAGCGUGGGGAUCAAACAGGAUUAGAUACCCUGGUAGUCCACGCCGUAAACGAUGAGUGCUAAGUGUUAGGGGGUUUCCGCCCCUUAGUGCUGCAGCUAACGCAUUAAGCACUCCGCCUGGGGAGUACGACCGCAAGGUUGAAACUCAAAGGAAUUGACGGGGACCCGCACAAGCGGUGGAGCAUGUGGUUUAAUUCGAAGCAACGCGAAGAACCUUACCAAAUCUUGACAUCCUUUGACAACUCUAGAGAUAGAGCCUUCCCCUUCGGGGGACAAAGUGACAGGUGGUGCAUGGUUGUCGUCAGCUCGUGUCGUGAGAUGUUGGGUUAAGUCCCGCAACGAGCGCAACCCUUAAGCUUAGUUGCCAUCAUUAAGUUGGGCACUCUAAGUUGACUGCCGGUGACAAACCGGAGGAAGGUGGGGAUGACGUCAAAUCAUCAUGCCCCUUAUGAUUUGGGCUACACACGUGCUACAAUGGACAAUACAAAGGGCAGCGAAACCGCGAGGUCAAGCAAAUCCCAUAAAGUUGUUCUCAGUUCGGAUUGUAGUCUGCAACUCGACUACAUGAAGCUGGAAUCGCUAGUAAUCGUAGAUCAGCAUGCUACGGUGAAUACGUUCCCGGGUCUUGUACACACCGCCCGUCACACCACGAGAGUUUGUAACACCCGAAGCCGGUGGAGUAACCAUUUGGAGCUAGCCGUCGAAGGUGGGACAAAUGAUUGGG
rnacentral:rRNA from 1 species